rnacentral:rRNA from 1 species
GAUGAACGCUGGCGGCGUGCCUAAUACAUGCAAGUCGAGCGAACAGACGAGGAGCUUGCUCCUCUGACGUUAGCGGCGGACGGGUGAGUAACACGUGGAUAACCUACCUAUAAGACUGGGAUAACUUCGGGAAACCGGAGCUAAUACCGGAUAAUAUAUUGAACCGCAUGGUUCAAUAGUGAAAGACGGUUUUGCUGUCACUUAUAGAUGGAUCCGCGCCGCAUUAGCUCGUUGGUAAGGUAACGGCUUACCAAGGCGACGAUGCGUAGCCGCCCGGAGAGGGUGAUAGGCCACCCUGGGACUGAGCCGCGGCGCAGAGGAGCACGGGAGGCAGCAGCAGGGAAUCUUACGGAAUGGAGGCAAGUCUGACGGAGCAACGCCGAGUGAGUGAGGAAGGUUUUAGGACCGUAAAACUCUGUUGUCAGGGAAGAACAAGUACCGGAGUAACAGCCGGUACCUUGACGGUACCUGACGAGAGAGCCACGGCUCACUACGUG